rnacentral:rRNA from 1 species
UACGUAGGGUGCUAGCGUUGUUCGGAAUCAUUGGGCGUAAAGCGCGUGUAGGCGGUUAGUUAAGUCGAGUGUGAAAUCCCUGGGCUCAACCGAGGAAGUGCACCCGAAACUAACUAGCUGGAAGAUGAUAGAGGAAGGUGGAAUUCCAAGUGUAGAGGUGAAAUUCGUAGAUAUUUGGAGGAAUACCGGUGGCGAAGGCGGCCUUCUGGAUCAUUCUUGACGCUGAGACGCGAAAGCGUGGGGAGCAAACAGG